AUCCAGGAGGCAGCAGGCGCGUAAUUACUCAAUGUUGACUCGACGAAGUAGUGACGAGAAAUACACAUGCGGUGCACUCAGUGUAUUGCAAUGUGAAUGAGAGCAAUGUAAAAGCCUCAUCGAGGAUCAAUUGGAGGGCAAGUCUGGUGCCAGCAGCCGCGGUAAUUCCAGCUCCAAUAGCAUAUAUUAACGUUGUUGCAGUUGAAAAGCUCGUAGUUGGAACUUUUGGUAUGGGCGACCUGGCCUUGGGCGCAUGCCCUUGUUUUGCCGUGUGUCGUACCUGGCCAUCCUUCACAUUUCUCCCGGCCCUCCCUUCCCUUUUUUUUUUUGGGGGUGUGAUCAUUUACUGUGAGUAAAACUGAAGUGCUCAAAACAAGACGUUUGUUUGGUACAUCAAAGCAUGGAAUAAUAAGAUAGGACCUGGUUACUAUUUUGUUGGUUUGCAUAGCUAGGUAAUGAUUAACAGGGACAGUUGGGGGUAUUCGUAUUUAAUUGUCAGAGGUGAAAUUCUUGGAUUUAUGAAAGACGAACGACUGCGAAAGCAUUACCAAGGAUGUUUCAUAAUCAAGAAC
rnacentral:rRNA from 1 species